rnacentral:rRNA from 1 species
UACGGAGGGGGCUAGCGUUGUUCGGAAUUACUGGGCGUAAAGCGCGCGUAGGCGGCUUUGUAAGUCAGAGGUGAAAGCCUGGAGCUCAACUCCAGAACUGCCUUUGAAACUACAUCGCUAGAAUCAUGGAGAGGUUAGUGGAAUUCCGAGUGUAGAGGUGAAAUUCGUAGAUAUUCGGAAGAACACCAGUGGCGAAGGCGGCUAACUGGACAUGUAUUGACGCUGAGGUGCGAAAGCGUGGGGAGCAAACAGG